UGCAAGUCCACUGGGAAAUCCACCCGCUCAACGGGUGGCCGUCCGGUGGAACCUGUGUGGCUUGGGACCGGAAGGCGCGACGGGUACGUCCGGGGUAGGAGUGAAAUCCCGUAAUCCUGGACGGACCGCCGAUGGCGAAAGCACGUCGCGAGGACGGAUCCGACAGUGAGGGACGAAAGCCAGGGUCUCGAACCGGAUUAGAUACCCGGGUAGUCCUGGCCGUAAACGAUGCCUGCUAGGUGUGGCUCCCGCUACGAGCGGGUGCUGUGCCGUAGGGAAGCCGCUAAGCAGGCCGCCUGGGAAGUACGUCCGCAAGGAUGAAACUUAAAGGAAUUGGCGGGGGAGCACUACAACCGGAGGAGCCUGCGGUUUAAUUGGACUCAACGCCGGACAUCUCACCAGCAUCGACCGUGGUAAUGACGGUCAGGUUGAUGACCUCGCCACGAGCCACAGAGAGGAGGUGCAUGGCCGCCGUCAGCUCGUACCGUGAGGCGUCCUGUUAAGUCAGGCAUCGAGCGAGACCCGCAUCCUUACUUGCCAGCAACGCUGUGAAGCGGUUGGGGACAGUAGGGAGACUGCCGUGGCCAACACGGAGGAAGGAACGGGCAACGGUAGGUCAGUAUGCCCCGAAUGUGCUGGGCAACACGCGGGCUACAAUGGUCGGGACAGAGGGUUCCAACUCCGAGAGGAGACGGUAAUCUCACAAACCCGAUCGUAGUUCGGAUUGUGGGCUGAAACUCGCCCACAUGAAGCUGGAUUCGGUAGUAAUCGCGUGUCACAAGCGCGCGGUGAAUACGUCCCUGCCCCUUGCACACAA
rnacentral:rRNA from 1 species